rnacentral:rRNA from 1 species
AUUGAACGCUGGCGGCAUGCCUUACACAUGCAAGUCGAACGGCAGCACGGGUGCUUGCACCUGGUGGCGAGUGGCGAACGGGUGAGUAAUACAUCGGAACAUGUCCUGUAGUGGGGGAUAGCCCGGCGAAAGCCGGAUUAAUACCGCAUACGAUCUACGGAUGAAAGCGGGGGACCUUCGGGCCUCGCGCUAUAGGGUUGGCCGAUGGCUGAUUAGCUAGUUGGUGGGGUAAAGGCCUACCAAGGCGACGAUCAGUAGCUGGUCUGAGAGGACGACCAGCCACACUGGGACUGAGAAACGGCCCAGACUCCUACGGGAGGCAGCAGUGGGGAAUUUUGGACAAUGGGCGAAAGCCUGAUCCAGCAAUGCCGCGUGUGUGAAGAAGGACUUAGGGUUGUAAAGCACUUUUGUCCGGAAAGAAAUCCUUGGCCCUAAUACGGUCGGGGGAUGACGGUACCGGAAGAAUAAGCACCGGCUAACUACGUG